ensembl:lncRNA
CCUCAGUUGGCAACAGUUUCAGAAUAGAUUUGAAAGAAAAGUGAAACAUAUUUGUCACUAACAUAUUUAUUCAGGGUUCCUGUCCUUUGUCUCAGCUGUUUAGUCAUCACAGACUGGAGUUGACAUUCAAUGGAUGGUGGAAACUGGGGAGGAAAAAAUACUUGAAAGCAUGAAGAACUAACAUCAUUUAUGGCAAAGGAAAUAGUCAUAUGUGUCAUGUCCUUCUGAACAAAACGAGUUUUUCAACAGAUCCAAACUGUAUCUGAUUUAUGAGACUGAACUGGAAUUAUUUCACUCACGGGAUAGUUUGGCUUUAUCUGUUUUCUUUCCAAAUCCCCAGGAGUUGCGACAGAUCUCCAGAGACUCUCUGUGUCCACUGCAUCCUCUGUGACAAGGACUGGGGCUGAGCUUCUUCCUGCUGUUGUUCUGACAUGGUUUUCCCAGGCUUUUUCAUCUGUGGUCAGAUAACUCUCAAUAAGGAAUAUAACAUUUCAAUUUGUGCCUAAUAACGAAGGGUCAAAUAUAAUUUCAUAUUUUUUCCUUUGUUUUUUUUCUGCCCACUUCUUUAGAAAUUUACAAUAGCAAGUUGCAUCUUUACACCUUUUUCUUGAAAAAACAAACAAUGGACAACAGGAGAAUUAGUAAGAUGAGCUUUUACAAACAUGCAGUGAAUCUGAGGAAGUAGAAAUAGAAGUAAUUUCUAAUCCAGCAGCUAGAAACGCCAUGUGGCAGAAUGUCUGGAGAAAAGAGGGAGGUGGGUGCCUGAGACCCAAGAGUGAGGAUGUUAUUAAGAAUCAUGGUGCAUCCAAACAUGCUCCAGGCAAGAAAUACAUGCAUUUUGCUUUAAAAGUCUCAAGUGCCAUGCUGAGAAUUCUCACCAGUCAGCCCCUUUUGAUCCCACAGAGCACACACAGCUUGGCCACAGGGUACCCAGUGAUUUUGAAUGUUUUGUUGUCAUCUCCAAGAAAUGUGAUCCCGGAAGUCUUCAGGCUUCAGGUCACAUUUAUAGCAAGGCUCAUGAAAAGUACCAGUGAGGUCCACCAGAAUGAACCUACCAUAUUCUAUAACAUCCUAUCUUAAGAUGAGAAUUAAAAGACUGUGCUGGUGGGAAUGGGAUUUUUGACUGGCAGAGGAACUGUUAGUGCUAUCUGUCUUACCAGACCUGCAAAAUAAAAUGUCAGAAAAUCCAGGAACCUGUAUCCUAAAUGACUCUGCAAGUGCCAGAUUGGUUCCCUACUGGGUGUUAAGUGAGCAAGGAAAUCCACAUCAAGGUCAUACCAAAUGGGAGCUGAAGAACUGAGUAGUGCCGUGCUGACAUGGCCCUUACCCUGUGUGGCUGUAGGCAUUUGACACCUGCUUCUAAAGGGCUUGUUGCAAGUACAUUCACAGAUCACCUUUCUGGGUGAUUACUUUGUCAUAG